rnacentral:snoRNA from 1 species
AAGCUAGCCAGUCUAUCUUCUUAUCUGAAUGUGUUUCCACAGAAAUUUAGAAACAGCUGAGAAUAGUGAUGCCCUAAGGACAAGUGCAGUCAUUACGAAUCCUCAAAACGGCUACCAUG